UUUCCGUAGGUGAACCUGCGGAAGGAUCAUUGUCGAAGCCUGCACAGCAGAACGACCCGCGAACUUGGAUAAACAACCGUGGGCAGGGGCGAUCUCGCCCCGUGCCCUCGAACGGCAGGGAGACACUCGUGCCUUCUUGUCGAACAACGAACCCCGGCGCGGUCUGCGCCAAGGAGCUUCAAUUAAAGAGUGCCCCCGGUCGCCUCGGAAACGAUGCGCGUGUUGGAGGCGAAUCUUGUACAAAACCAUAACGACUCUCGGCAACGGAUAUCUCGGCUCUC
rnacentral:misc_RNA from 1 species